UUCGGAAUUACUGGGCGUAAAGGGCUCGUAGGUGGCCAACUAAGUCAGACGUGAAAUCCCUCAGCUUAACUGGGGAACUGCGUCUGAUACUGGAUGGCUUGGAUUCGGGAGAGGAAUGCGGAAUUCCAGGUGUAGCGGUGAAAUGCGUAGAUAUCUGGAGGAACACCGGUGGCGAAGGCGGCAUCCUGGACCAAUUCUGACGCUGAGGAGCGAAAGCCAGGGGAGCAAACGGG
rnacentral:rRNA from 1 species